rnacentral:rRNA from 1 species
GACGAAUGCUGGCGGCGUGCUUAACACAUGCAAGUCGAACGGUGAAGGAGAGCUUGCUCUCUGGAUCAGUGGCGAACGGGUGAGUAACACGUGGGUAACCUGCCCCUCACUUCGGAAUAACCAUCCGAAAGGAUGGCUAAUACCGGAUAUGGAAACCUGAGGCAUCUCCGGGUUUGGAAAGUUUUUCGGUGAGGGAUGGACCCGCGGCCUAUCAGCUUGUUGGUGAGGUAAUGGCUCACCAAGGCGAAGACGGGUAGCCGGCCUGAGAGGGCGACCGGCCACACUGGGACUGAGAUACGGCCCAGACUCCUACGGGAGGCAGCAGUGGGGAAUAUUGCACAAUGGGCGAAAGCCUGAUGCAGCGACGCCGCGUGAGGGAUGAAGGCCUUCGGGUUGUAAACCUCUUUCAGUAGGGACGAAGCGCAAGUGACGGUACCUACAGAAGAAGCACCGGCUAACUACGUGCCAGCCGCCGCCGUAA